rnacentral:lncRNA from 1 species
CCCCCUUCGCCUUGCCUAGGACUGUGCCGUGUUUAAUGUGGGGCAGGCCCAGCAAGCUGUGCAUGGUUUGCAGCUAGCUGAGAGAGGACGACACUGGCUUCGUUUGCUUGCAGUUUGCUCUAAUGGAGAUCCUCUGAGAUUGCAAGCUUAUAACUCAUGUACACUCUUCAGCAACAUAUGAGCAUACCUGUGCUUGAGAGCAGGUAUGACUAACCACUAUUUCAGCAGAGUCUGACUAUCCACUAAGACAACAAAAAAACACUUGUGGUGGAAAAACACCUCGCCAAAACAUAUCUAUAAAUGAACUUGAGUUUAUAUUAAGAAAAUAAAGCCAAUAAAGACAAAUUCCAAAAUCAGAAUAUCUUCACCCUUUAGUGAAUUCGUUUUUAAAAAAUACAGCAGCAGC